GGUCGUUCGAGAAAGAGAGCAGGCAAAAGAAAGGUGAAACCCUAGCUUCAAGAAAUCAAGAAUCAAAGCCAAAUACAUAAGAUAAUCCGGUGCAUGAACCCUCCUUGCGAAAAUCUAACCCUAAUUUGUUAGUGGCGUGAAGGAGGAAGGUUCCAAUACUAGGAAAUUGGAAGGUUCACAAGAUCGAGGUAAAACACCUCUAUAGGCGAUUUGGAGAUAUGGAGCGAGCACGUAUUCAAGCCUUAUUAUACCAAGCGCUUCCGCUAGUUUAUAUGCAUACUUUUGGGUUCACGUUUUGUUACUUUGAUUAAAUCUUGUUAGAAGUCUUAUACUUGAAAACUUCUUGUUUUUGUUUGGGAUAGUUUAAUGUUAAUAGGGUCGUAAGUGAAUGUCGUCUAUUAUGUCAAAACAGGGGGUAUGUCCGUAUUACAAACGGGUCAUGCCCAAAUUUUGUAAAAAUUCCUACUAUGUGUCAAAAUUGGUAUUUUGAUGUCCGAAAAAUUAUUCUUUUGUAAGUAAUCUAACAUUAUGGAAAAGCGGAC